rnacentral:tRNA from 1 species
GGAGGGGUGCCAGAGUGGUCGAAUGGGACGGUCUCGAAAACCGUUGUAGGCUUACGUCUACCGUGGGUUCGAAUCCCACCCCCUCCG